rnacentral:tRNA from 1 species
GAGCCCGUAGCUCAGCGGUAGAGCAUCUGACUUUUAAUCAGGGGGUCGAUGGUUCGAAUCCAUCCGGGCUCACCA